AAAGCUCUUUGUUUUUUGAAAGGGUGCUUUUAUGAGAUAGAGCUUUUUUAGAUAAUGCUUUUUUAGAUAAUGCUGGGGAAGGUUUUCCGGUUUAUCUCGGAGGGCUUGUAGCUCAGUUGGUUAGAGCGCGCGCUUGAUAAGCGUGAGGUCGGAGGUUCAAGUCCUCCCAGGCCCACCAAUUUACCUAUCCAUUUGCCUUUAUCCGUUUAUUUGCCGAUUUAUCGGUCCAUUGAAUUUAAGUGUUGGUAGCAGUUUUAUAAUGAUGAGAAAUCAUGCUUAUAAAAGAAUUCCUUAUAAAAGGCUUGUUUUUAAAAUGUGACGCUUAUCCAUUUCGCUUAGGCAAGAGAAACUUCAAGCGGUUCAAAUACAAAAGGCUUUAAGUUUUGCAAAACACUUUGAAUUUUGCAAAACACUUUGAAUUUUAAAGUGAUCCAAGUUCGUGAUCUCGAAUUUAAAAGUUUCGAAUGCUUUAUCCUUUUUUGGGGGCCGUAGCUCAGCUGGGAGAGCACCUGCUUUGCAAGCAGG
rnacentral:misc_RNA from 1 species